GACGGAGGAUGCAAGUGUUAUCCGGAAUCACUGGGCGUAAAGCGUCUGUAGGUGGUUUAAAAAGUCUAUUGUUAAAAAUUGAAGCGUUAACUUCAAAGAUGCAAUGGAAACUUUUAAACUUGAGUAUGGUAGGGGUAGAGGGAAUUUCCAGUGGAGCGGUGAAAUGCGUAGAUAUUGGAAAGACCACCAAUGGCGAAGGCACUCUACUGGGCCAUUACUGACACUGAGAGACGAAAGCUAGGGGAGCAAAAUGGG
rnacentral:rRNA from 1 species